CUUUUUGUCAGGAGAAGAGGCAUCAUGGGAAGAAGGCUAUCCUUUGGUAGGUGGGAGAAGCCAUCUUUUUAGCAUGCAUGUGAAGUAUACAACAAUGGCUCUGUACAGAAGUCUAGAUUCUGUUGACCAGCAUUCCUGCAAGACAGUACCAGAUAGUGCUGGAAAAGAUGGACAAAUGAGUCUUAAGAAAUGUUGUGAAGUUGCCUAUCCAGUACUGAGGUGAAAUAACAAUACAGAUAAUGUCACUCAACUCCUUCACCUUAAAAACAUAAGCCUCUCAGCCACCUACAAAUGGAAUAACCCAUCAUUCAUUAUUCUAUCACACUUCACCAGCUGUUUACAAACCAGGAAAAGUGUCCUCACAAGAAAUCAAAUCAGCUAGUAUCUUGUUCUUGGACUUUGCAUCUCCACAACUGGGAAAAAUUAUUUGGUUGUUCAAAACACUCAAACUAAGGAAUAGAGAGCGAGCAGAGUCAAGCAUGGGACAUAACAUCUGCAGUAGUGAACUCUACUGUAUGGAACCGGAGGUAGCGAACAUGCCUGAGAGGGUUUGAGAGAUCUACGCAGAAAGGGACCUGGCACGUAAAUAUCUUCUCUCCAGGAAGACAGGAAAGUGGAAGAAACAUAAGGGUCCCCCACUCAGGGGAAGAUUGUGUGUUAGACAACAGUUCGGAAUGCACUGAGUAAAGAAGACAAGAAGUACAAAAAAAAAAGGUAUACACGUAAUGGACUACUACUCAGCCGUAAAGAAAGGUAAAUUUGAGUCAUUUGUAUGAAUGACCCAUCUUGAGACUAUACUGCUACAUAAAAGAAACCGGACAUAGAAGGUUAAAUAUUACAUGGCUUCUCUUAUAUGUAAUA